rnacentral:rRNA from 1 species
CAGCAGCCGCGGUAAUACGAAGGUCCCGAGCGUUGUUCGGAAUCACUGGGCGUAAAGGGAGCGUAGGCGGCGUGGUAAGUCAGAUGUGAAAUCCCGGGGCUCAACCCCGGAACUGCAUCCGAUACUGCCGUGCUAGAGGAUUGGAGAGGUAGCUGGAAUUCUUGGUGUAGCAGUGAAAUGCGUGGAGAUCAAGAGGAACACUCGUGGCGAAAGCGAGCUACUGGACAAUAUCUGACGCUGAGGCUCGAAGGCCAGGGUAGCGAAAGGGAUUAGAUACCCGCGUAGUCCCUGUCUCUUAUAC